rnacentral:rRNA from 1 species
UACGAAGGGGGCUAGCGUUGCUCGGAAUCACUGGGCGUAAAGCGCACGUAGGCGGAUUGCUAAGUCAGGGGUGAAAUCCUGGAGCUCAACUCCAGAACUGCCUUUGAUACUGGCGACCUUGAGUCCGGGAGAGGUGAGUGGAACUGCGAGUGUAGAGGUGAAAUUCGUAGAUAUUCGCAAGAACACCAGUGGCGAAGGCGGCUCACUGGCCCGGUACUGACGCUGAGGUGCGAAAGCGUGGGGAGCCAAACAGG